CGCGCCCACCUGCACGUGUACAAUCAGACCCCUUUGAUAGUGACAGUGACCCAGAUGACCCUGAGCCUUUCCAUGGUUUUGAUGCCUCGCCCUAUACAUCAGAUGUAGAUGUUCCCUCAUCAGUUGAUACAAGUAUCACCUCCCCAGAGCCCAAAUCAGUUGAUACGAGUAGUAUCACCUCUCCCAUUCCUUCAGACUCCCAAGCACCUGCCCAUCCCACUCCAUAGCCCAGCUACCCACUCUCAUGUACCAUAUGACCAUCCCAGUAAGCAAGCCAACCACUAGAAUUUGACUGGCAUGCACCUGUGACUUACAUAAACCAGACCUCUACAUAGCCUACAUGUCUUCAUUUUGCUGGAGACUGCCCAUCAUCCUAGCCUGUUAUCUGUGAUAAAGCACACUGAAGUUAGGUUUGGAAUGCAUCCUUAUCAUGAAUGCUCUACACCUCCACCUCCAUCUCCCACAACCUAGGUAACAGCUUUGAGACUCACUAA